CACACGCAGAGGUGACAGCCACACACACACUCACACACGCAGAGGUGACAGCCACACUCACACACGCAGUGAUAGCCACACAUUCACGCAGAGGUGACAGCCACAUAUUCUUAGAUUUUUUUCGGUAAAGUCACGUAGGUAAAACAUUCAAAUUAUUAAUUUUAAAUUUUUACCUACGUGACUUUACCGAAAAAACCUAAGAAUAUGAAUCCUUACAGUCACGAAAGCUUCAAAUCUAGAAGUGACAGCCACACUCGCACACUCUACACACACACGCGGUGCCACUCAACACGUGCAUCGAAUCAUCAUCGUUCACCCCACGGAGCUGUGACAUGGGCUAACAACGAAUUCCUGUCCUACAUUCGUAAAGGAAUGGACCCGACUUCUCCACUUGGAACAACAAAAGCAACAACAAUAUUUGUACUAUUAUUAUUUGUAACAGUGGUCGUUGACAGCGCGGAGGUUGAGAAUGGCUCGGAGACCGGAGCUCAGCGCCAACGAAGAACACCACGAGAAUUUAUGGUCGUCACCCCAGAGAAAAUGAACGCUGUAGCAAACAGCACGAUUUUCCUGCCCUGCUACUACACCUGUACAAUCAGCGGCGUUAACCACACGCUGGCGGAGUGGCUCAGGAGGGAUGGACGUGAAGAAGAGAGGAUUUAUCUAUUCCCCAAUGGAAAUAGCAGCCGUGGGCCUUUAAAGGUGUCCUGGAUGGGUGAUUUUUCCAAGUGCGACGCCUCCAUCACCGUCAGUGACAUCCAGACCCACGACUCUGGUCGAUAUCGCUGUAAGGUCACGGUGUUUCCACAAAACAAGCACGACAUUGGGUAUCUACAGCUGAAUGUCACCAGUCCAUCAGAACUCGUGGUUGUGACCCCUGAUAAAAUGGACGCCAUGGCAGGCAGUACAUUAAUCCUGCCCUGCUCCUACACCUGUACAAUCAGCGGCGUUACCACCAAGCUGGUGGAGUGGUUAAGGAUCAUCAACGGGUGUGAAGAGAGGAUUUAUCACUUCUCCGAGGGAGAGAACAUACAAUGGCCUUUACAGGCCACCUGGGUGGGUGAUGUGUCCAAGUGCGACGCCUCCAUCACCGUCAGCAACAUCCAGACCCACGACUCUGGGCGAUAUCGCUGUGAGGUCACGGUUUUUUCCCAAACUGGGCAACACCACAUUGGGUAUCUACAGCUGACUGUCCACCCACGAACAGACCUGGCCGUUGUCACCCCAGUUGAGUCCAGAGUAGGCAGCACGGUUCUCCUGCCCUGCUCUUACACCUGCACCAUCAGUAACAUUACAAGGACGCUGGUGGAGUGGUUCAGGACCAUAGGCGGACACAAUGAGAAGGUGUAUAAGAUCAUACACAGUAAGAGAAGCCUCAGGCCAUUGCAGGUGACGUGGGUGGGUAAUGAGUCCACGUGUGACGCCUCCAUCACCAUCAGCGACAUCCAGACCCACGACACUGGACGAUAUCGCUGUGAGGUCACGAUUUAUCAAUACGACAAGCCAACCAUGAAAGACAUCGGGCAUCUGCAGCUGAACGUUCACAAUGAACCAGAACUGACAGACACAACACCCACACCAACCUCAACCCCAGCUCCAGCUCCAUCACCUGUAGCUGGCAUCGUCCUUGGAGUCAUUCUGGUUAUUGCUCUUCUGGUUGGAGUUGUUUGGUACUGCAAGAGGAGGAGGACGAGACCAAGUCAGACAAGAGAACCAGCAGACCGGGCCUCAAGAAAUGCAGCCAAUGAACCGAGUUGAAGAUGAUACAGAAGGAAGAUCAGGUCAAGUUGCACCGGCAGAGCAAGGAGAUGAGGCCAACGAUGAAGAAGGAGAACGUGAGACCUCAACUUAGAGAACCCAGAAGUCCAGCCAAUCAGUCCCAAGCCACCUUAACUUAUACAGCAAGUUGUACUAAUCAACUCAUCACCGCUAGAAACUAACCCUCAGAGCCAAUGAUCAAGACACCGACAACAUAGCGACGUGCAGUUGAACCGCAAUGCCCCGUGAGGUUAACGUGUGGAGCCUAUAGCAAAUAAUGUUAUAAAGGGGCCCUUAAUUUUUUGUAAAAAAAAAGCACGUACAUAUUAAAACAUACAUUUUUUACUUGCACAGUAAAGUAAUUGUAUUUUUUCAUUGGCUAUACAGCCAGAUAAUGACAAAUCGAUAACCUUAAACACACAGUCGUUCAUAAAAGUAGAAGGUGGUAUAGUACUAUAGUGAUAGAGCAAGUGCAGAAUCACUGAACCGGAAUUGAUAGCUUGAAAGCAUUUAGCGCGGGCCCUUGAAAGUGCAGGGCCCGUAGCUACAUAUGUAGCUACUUUUGCUGCUAGGAUAAUAAGACACUGAUAAGUAGCAUAUUCUACUUUUGCUACGAGGAUAAUCCGGCACUGCUUUGAGGUUGUGAAUGCGAGUAGGAUGGUCCAGACUGUCUGAGAAGAGAAGGAGAGUGCUCAACAAGUUGCUUAAAUUCGGGCUCGCAGCUCGAGUCAAUAAUAGUUUUUUUAUGUUUUGAUGAAUAAUCAAUAAUUAUGUUAUGAUGUGUUAAAGCAAUAGCAUUACAAGUGUAAUGGGUUCCGGAGACGCUUGUAGAGGUAACUUCUUUGUUACAAUACAACACUCCAACAGUCAUGAUACUCUGUUACAGCCUAGGGACACAGCCUAGGGACACAGCCUAGGGACACAGCCUACUCUAGCUACGCUCUCGGGUCCUCCGGCUACAAUUACCCCAGGGGAGGCUACCUGACCCGACCCAGCCAAGGUGCGGAUCUAGACUCUGGCUUCCUCGGAACUCGCCCUUACAAGGACGUAGAGCAGGGAGUCCCAGAGUCCCACCACUGGCCCGCACAGCGUCCCGGCCCUGACAAGAACAAGCGGGACGAGGGGGUCCAGGGUCCUAAGCUGGCCGGUCUUGGGUCUUGAGCUGCGACUGGCCCCGAUCGGCCAGGGAAUGGCCCUUUUAUCCCUCUUGCCCAUCGAGGGGUGGGGUUGUGUGUGCUCCCAGAUACCCCAGAGCACACACAGCCCCCUGUUGGUGGCACCAAGGGGCUCAGCUGUCUGGGUUGUCUGGGAUCCUAGAGCCUGGCGCCGAGGGCUUAGCUGUCUAGGAUCCUAGAGCCCCCCGCAGCCCCUCCCCUCUUGGGCUGGCACAGUGGCCCCUCCCCUGUGGGUCCGAGGUACCUGCAGAUGGGCCCUGUCCACCACUGCUGGUCAAGUUGCACCGGCAGAGCAAGGAGAUGAGGCAAACGAUGAAGAAGGAGAAAGUGAGACCUCAACUUAGAGAAGCCAGAAGUCAAGCCAACCAGUCCCAAGCAACCUUAACAAAUUCAGCAACCAAUCAACUCAUCAUCGCUAGAAACUAACCCUCAUAGAGCCAAUGAUCAAGAUGCUGGCAACGUAGCGACGUGCAGUCACACAGAUACCCACAGAUUCACAAAGAGACCCAUAUAUUGACAUGGACACCAUAGAUUCACAUAGAAACUAUAGAUUCACGUAGAGAUAUAUUACCAAAAAGACCCAAAGGCUCACAUUAAGAUCUACUAAUGGACACAGAGACACACAUUCACACAGAGACCCAACCACUGACACAGAAAGCCAAUGGCUAAUAUAAUGACCCAUACAUUAAAAUAUAGACCAGUAUACUUUAUAGAAACCCAUAGACUUAGAUAGACACAUGGUUGUGAUUAAACUGGGAUUUCAAAUGCAGUGAGUUUGAUGGUCUCAGCCCGGUCACCAAUGACUGCAGAAAACAAAACCCAUCAUGUAAAAUCAUGAUUUGAAGUUUUCGUGACUGCAGGGAUCCAUACAUAGUCUUUGGUUCUUUCGGUAAAGUUACGUAGGUAUAAAAUAAAAUAAAUUAAAUCACGACGUUUCGGGCGCAACACGACAAAACGUGAUUUAAUUUAUUUUAUUUUAUACCUACGUGACUUUACCGAAAGAACCAAAGAGUACUCAUCAUGUUAAUUUGUCCCAUCAUACUUAAUUUGUCCGAUAAUUAAAACGUCUGCUUGGCUGUCGUGCGACGUCUCAAGGUGAAUCGUGCGAGGCAUUGCGAGCCCAGAUGUGCGGAGGCUUUCAAGGGAACGCGAACGAUUCUCACGACAGUCCAGUCCCUUGCACAACCAUUUGUUUCACACACUGGGGUCGCACUGCUCUGCAACAUUGACAAGUGGAUUCCUUGAAUUUUUUCCUGUUAAAAAAAGUUGAUUUUUACAUUAGAGUACAGCAAACUCUUCCCUCUAGUGGGUUUAGCUAUCACGGUUUAGCAGUUUUGUCCCAAGUUUAUUGAGCUACAGAGUUCGCCGAUCGUGCCCCUGUGGCUGGACCAUUCGCGGUUGAUCACGAGAUUUCUGUACGCGCCGUAACUAUACUGCUCGCGAUGAUGCUGUUGCUGCGGAAGAACACAUGCCGGAGCCAUCUUAUCUCCGUCUUCAUUUUUUCUCUGUGUUAUCUCCAUAUUUUCUCUGCCUUGUCUCCAUCUUAUCUGUCAUAUCUCCAUCUUUCUGUCUUGUCUCCAUCAUAUCUCCGUUUCGUCUCCAUAUUAUCUACGUCCUGUCUCCAUCUUGCCUCUACCUCCCGUCUCUUCUCUCAAGCGGCCCAUUGGGGGUCCCGCGGUCUUUCCAGCCUCGAGUGAGCAGGCAGUGAGGUUCAGCCGCCCGCCAUUUUUUCUUCUAUCGCCCGCCAUUUUGUCUUCUAUCGCGCGUUAGAAACCGUGAACCAAACCCCAUUAUCCCCAUUUGUCUUCGAGUUUGGGGAAGGCGAAUUUUCCGAUUGCAGCUUUAUACCAAAAACGUAACACCGGCGAUGGGCAAGGGUUUGCUGUAUAUACUACAUGCUAAAUCAAUGCACCUGUAUUCUAUUUUUGCAAGGCAUAAUGCACUUCUUAUACAGUAUAUAUUGAAUUUGAUUCGAAGAUGAUAUGUAUUACACGGCGAAUUAUUGAUCUCUUCUAUUAAUAUUGCAAUUAGAGGCCAUGUACGAGUAUAUAUUUAAAAUCGUAAUGAUUGAGUGUUACUCUGGAAAAAAUCUUUAUAAUCCACAUACCUCAGUAUAUGUUUUUCCGCAAGGCCCAACAACGUAGAUUCCAAAGCCAACACAACGAUGCUGAGUUGUUUUGGGGUUAAUGGAAAGAAUGUUGACAUAGAGCCCAUAAACAAACACAGGUCAUUGUGAUGGCGACAGUGACAACUGACCUCUAUUGGCAGGAAAUGCAUACCACUUAGAGCAACUCUGUUGACCAAGAACGCAUCUUGAGCGCUAUAUGAGGUAUGCCUGUAUACAGCAGUCCCUCGGUUAACAGUGACAUCGGUAAACGGUUGUUUGGUUAGCGUUUUGCCUCUCAUGGGACCCCAUGGUUUCGACUAAUGUUAACAUUGUGAUAAACGGUAAGUUUACGUUGUACAUGCAAGGCGCCAAUUUCGGUCAAUCUGAGUGCUCUUUAAGUAGGCAGAGCCAUGGCCUCAGCCAAUCAGCGACGUGCAUUUGUGAGCGUUUAGACCUCGACUGGCUUUGUUUACAUUAUCACAUUUGCUGUUUUGCCAAUGGAAAGAGCUCUUUUGCAGACUAAGUGAUGUUGACUUAUAUUUCAACUCAUAAGUGAAUUCGACAUAACAGUUAUUUUAGUAAACAAUAGUUUAUUGUGGAUCGGGAUAACAUUUUAACCAAAGGACUACUUUAUGUAUAUACCAACUGGAGGGGGGGGGGGGCAUUACACGGACCCAAGCGGUGAGGUUGUGCAUGCGUGGAUAUGUAAGCGGUGGGUGUUGUUGACCUGUGUAAGUGUGCAGAAAUUAUUUUAUGAGACGUAAUCAUUCGAAAACUGAAACGAAAUGUAUAAUCACUACCUAAAGACCUGUCUGUACACAAUAUUUUUCAUAUACACUCCGUCCUCUUCUGCACAAAAUGGGUCUUCAGUGAACACGGUGGCAUUUUAAUCUUGACGUAACGCUUGACAACGCCACGUAUGAUUGUCCAUGAGCGAAAAAAACUGGUUGUGGCAAAUACAAUCCCAAAUGAUGAACUGACUGUCCUUGCGCUUUGUUGAUGAUCAUUGCAAGUGCAACUUGAACAGGGGACUAACUAGAUUCGUCGGAGUUGGGACGGAGGAGUUGAUUCGUUACCUGAUAAUCGUAAUGCGAGGAAUUAAAACUCUUUUCCCAUCA